AAAGAGAAAAAUUCAAAUAGUCAAAUUUCGUGCUUUUUGUAUCUUGUUGUUUAAAAUAUAUCAAUUAAGUAUCUUAUUAUUUUGCAUUUUUUCACUUUAGUAUUCUGUGAUUUAAAGUGCAUCACUUUAGUAUCCUAUAAUUUUUUUUUUUUUUUUCACUUUUCGUCGGCUCUUCUGUUAAUAUUUCGUUAAAUUAUAUACAAAAAAUUUGAGAUAUCCUAUCUAGAUUUAUUGAAUAUUACUUUAGUACCUUUUAGUUUUAAUUUUAUCGCUGCAUUUUUUUUUCUCCGUUAAUAUUUCGUUAAAUUACAUACAAAAAAUUUCAAAUACCCUAUUUAGGUUUAUCGAAUAUUCACUUUAGUACCCUUUAAUUUUAACUUUGUCACUGAUUUAACAAAAAAAUUAGUAAAAUAAAUAAUAAAAAUAAAAAAAUAAAACCACAGAGUACUAACUUGAUACACUUUAAACCAUGGGACAUUAAAGUAAGAAAGUGCGAAAUCAUAGGGACUAACUUGAUAUACUUUAAAUCACAGGAUGCUAAAGUGAGAAAGUGUGAAACCACAAGAGGGGUAUUUGA
rnacentral:lncRNA from 1 species